rnacentral:sRNA from 1 species
CCUGCCCAUUCUUUGCCCACGCU